GGCACAGGAAGACAAAGACAAAACCAUAUUUGCUGAUAUAUUUUCAGGCACAACCUCACCAACCUGAGAAACAUUUAUUUCAUUGUUCUUUUCAAUAUCAGAUCCUUUUGAUUCUGCUGGUACUACUAAGCUGCAAAAUAGACCCUUGUCAGAUAAGUCAUCAGCCUUGUCUUCCUCCAUUGCCAAAGAAGAUGAUGGAACAUUCAUUUUUGCCGAUGUAUAUUCAGGCACACUUGAACGAACCUCAGAUACACCCAUUUGAUAACAAUUUUCAGCUUCAGAUCCUUUUAAUUCCUCUAGUACUGGGCUGAGAACUAGACCCUUCUCACAUGUGCUUUUCAUCUUUUCCUCUUCACUAGCCAAGGAAGCCGAAGAUAAAAUGAAAUUUGCUGGUGUAAUCAGUUGCUCAACAAUAUCAUGGGAUACAUCCAUUUGAUGAAUAAUUUCGGUUUCAGAACUUUUUGAUUCUUCUGGUGUUAUUGCAUUGCCAGUGCCAGAUAAACCCUGCUCAAAGAAUACUUUGCUCUUUUCUUCCUCCAUUGUCAAUGGAGAAGAAGAUAAAACCAUAUUUUCUAGUACAUCUCCAGGAAAAAUCCCACCAACUCGAGAGACAUCCCCCUCAUUAACCAUUUUUGCUUCAGAUCCUCGUGUUUCCCCCUCUGCUAGUGAGCUCUUCUCACGUUUGUCAUCUACUUUCUCUUCCUCUACCACCAGGUAAGAUGAAGGAAGAGUACUUUCAGAAAUAUUUUGCAGUACAACCCUGUCAAACUGCAAAACCUCCAUUUGAUGAAUGUCCUCUGCAUCGGUAGAUUUGGCGGCAAUAUCAUUUGGCAAUGAUGCAAGUGCUUCAGACAAGUUUGCUUCUGCAUUGCAACCAGCUACACGUUCACCCUUACUACUUCCAACCUCUGGCU
rnacentral:misc_RNA from 1 species